rnacentral:lncRNA from 1 species
GCGUGUGUACGGGAGCCGAGCUGGCGUACGGAGGCUGUGCUGGCGUGGUUGCUGGAGAGUGGAGCGUACGGAGGCGCUGGAUGGGGCUCGGUUGCGGCGCAAAGCGAGGGAGAGCCCUAGGGUUUCUGGAGUUGUAAUAGUUUUGGGCCGUUUGGGCCACGGGUGCUUUGGGCUACUUGGGUUAGUUGGGUUUUGGGUUUUGGGUUUUGGGUUUUAAAUGUUGGGUCUAGGUUUAUGUAAAUUGUUGGGCUUUUG